UAGUCAAUGCUCGCAAGAGUGAACUAGCUAACUGAAAUCAGAGAGUUUAAACAAACUCCUGAUGUCGUAAGGGAAAAUAAUGAUAAUACCUUACUAUUAGUGUCGUCCAAAUCUGGUGCCAGAAGACUCGGUAAGACCAGAGACGCAAACGUUAAUCAUCAUAAUCAGGCGUAAAGGGUUUGUAGGCAGCUUUCACACGUACAAAAAAUAAAAAUAAUUAGUUAAAUUGAAAGCUAGAAUCAAAUAGAGGUUAUAGUGUAUAACGCCUAGAGGAGGGCUGAUAUCCAUAGAUCCUAGGCAGAAUACUAAGGGCGAAGGCCACUCUCCACUAAUGAUUGACGCUGAGAAACGAAGGUUAGGAUAGGAAAUAGGAUUAGAUACCCCGGUACUCCUUUCUGUAAACGAUGAAUGGUAGUCAUUAGUUAUAUUACUAGAGACGAAGUUAACACAAUAACCAUUCCGCCUUGUGAGUACUACUGCAAAGUAGAAAACAAAAAAAUUAGUCGGUCUCGAAGCAAACGGAGUGAAGCAUGUUAUUUAAU
rnacentral:rRNA from 1 species